rnacentral:rRNA from 1 species
AGAUGAAAGUUACUUCGGUACAUCGGUGACAGGUGGUGCAUGGUUGUCGUCAGCUCGUGUCGUGAGAUGUUGGGUUAAGUCCCGCAACGGGCGCAACCCCUAUUGUUAGUUGCCAUCAUUCAGUUGGGCACUCUAGCGAGACUGCCGGUAAUAAACCGGAGGAAGGUGGGGAUGACGUCAAAUCAUCAUGCCCCUUAUGACCUGGGCUACACACGUGCUACAAUGGUUGGUACAACGAGUUGCGAGUCGGUGACGGCGAGCUAAUCUCUUAAAGCCAAUCUCAGUUCGGAUUGUAGGCUGCAACUCGCCUACAUGAAGUCGGAAUCGCUAGUAAUCGCGGAUCAGCACGCCGCGGUGAAUACGUUCCCGGGCCUU